rnacentral:tRNA from 1 species
AUCAUUUUGGCAGAAAUAAGUGCAGUUGAUUUAGGAUCAGCAUAUAUAAAAAAUUUUAUUUUAUAAUUGAUA